rnacentral:rRNA from 1 species
CCCUUAGAUGUUCUGGGCCGCACGCGCGCUACACUGAUGCGUUCAACGAGCCUAUCCUUGACCGACAGGUCCGGGUAAUCUUUGAAUCUGCAUCGUGACGGGGAUAGAUUAUUGCAAUUAUUAAUCUUCAACGAGGAAUGCCUAGUAGGCGCAAGUCAUCAGCUUGCGUCGAUUACGUCCCUGCCCUUUGUACACACCGCCCGUCGCUCCUACCGAUUGGGUGUGCUGGUGAAAUGUUCGGAUCGGCCGUUUGUCGCGGUUUCCGCGUCAUGUGGCUGAGAAGUUCAUUAAACCCUCCCACCUAGAGGAAGGAGAAGUCGUAACA